UUGAGCGCUGGCGGCAGGCCUAACACAUGCAAGUCGAGCGGAUGACGGGAGCUUGCUCCUUGAUUCAGCGGCGGACGGGUGAGUAAUGCCUAGGAAUCUGCCUGGUAGUGGGGGACAACGUUUCGAAAGGAACGCUAAUACCGCAUACGUCCUACGGGAGAAAGCAGGGGACCUUCGGGCCUUGCGCUAUCAGAUGAGCCUAGGUCGGAUUAGCUGGUUGGUGGGGUAAUGGCUCACCAAGGCGACGAUCCGUAACUGGUCUGAGAGGAUGAUCAGUCACACUGGAACUGAGACACGGUCCAGACUCCUACGGGAGGCAUCAGUGGGGAAUAUUGGGCAAUGGGCGAAAGCCUGAUUCAGCCAUGCCGCGUGUGUGAAGAAGGCCUGAGGGUUGUAAAGCACUUUUAGUGGGGAGGAGGACUUGUAGGUUAAGAGCUAGCGAGUUGGACGUUACACACAGAAAAAGCACCGGCUAACUCCGUGCCAGCCGCCGCAGUAACAC
rnacentral:rRNA from 1 species